AUCAAAGAUGGAAAUAUUUGUGCCGAAUCUUCAUCGACUCAUCAAUCUACUCUUAAUUUCAUGUUCUUCUUUGAUUAUUUUAAUUAUUGCUUAUUCAAAUUAUUAUCAUAUUAAACUAAUAUUUCAAAAUUACGUACACAUUUUCUUUUAAGGAAAUUAUCUUGUUAUUUUCUUCUUCCUUUUUUCUUUACCCACCAUUAAUUAUUAUUCUUUUAUUCUUUAAUUUUAAUUAUUUACUUUCCCGGACAAAAUUAGGCGUUGACAGCUGCCCCUCUUUAUUUAGAUUUGGUUUAAACCAUUUAGGCGUCCCUAUUUUUGUUAGCUAUUCCCAAUUUGGUCCCCUUCUUUUAAAGUUUCCUAAUUGAGUCCUUAUAACUGCUAAUUUCAACCAAUUGAGCCCCUGCCGUCAAAUUUUGUUAACGGAGUUAACUUUCUGCAGAGGUGGUGGGCUGACGUGUUUAAAUGGUUUCAACGUGUCACUCUCUUCCUCCCACGCCAUUUUCCUCUUCCUUCUUCCUCCUUCCAUUCUUCUCUCUUCCAACCACUUCCAACUUUCUUAAAAAAAAAAUCCAAAUCUGCAUAAUUCACUGACUCAUUGUCAUUAAGCAAAUAUCAACAAAAGGACUUGAUUCAUCAAGCUCGUAUGUUCUUCCUGAUCCCUCUUCCGGAAGUAAAGAGCUCCGCUGAAAAUGGGUCGCACCUCUACCAACAAAGGGUAUCAAAGAAAUUAAUCCAAGGCAGAACUCAACAUGGAUGCUUUGUUUUUUGUUUAUUUAUUCCUGCUCUUAGAAGUUAUUAUUACGAAUAAAAAAGCUUAACAGUGGUCUCUAUCUCAAUAC
rnacentral:lncRNA from 1 species